rnacentral:snRNA from 1 species
GAAUUGAAGUUUAUCCAACUAUGAUAUCUAUCACCGCUUUGAUUAUCAGGAUUCAUGUGGGUCAUCUGCCAGGCUAAGAAGGUGUCCCCUUCCUCACUUACUGUUCAUGCAUGCCUCUUUCGAGCUGCACUUGAUUAAAGAGGAUGACCUUUCCUAGUAAAGGGGACCACUCUUUGGUCACAAGCACAUGAAGAUCUGAGUUCUCUUGCCAGAACCUCUAAAGAAGAUCUCAAGGUAAAUGCUUGACUACUGAGUUAAAGCUAUAAACCUCUAGAAUAGGUUGCAAACAGUGUUUCCUGCAUUU